GUGCUUGCUUUGGCAGCACAUAUACUAAAA
rnacentral:snRNA from 1 species